AGUAUAUUUACAAAGUUGCGCAACACCACAAUCUAAUUUUAAGAACAUUUUCAUCACCCCAGAAAGAAACCACAUAUCCAUUAGCAGUCUCUAUUUCCCCUUGUCUUCUGCCAGCCCAGGUCAAUCAUUAAUCUACUUUCUGUUUCCAUAGGUUUGUCUUUAUCACUGUUUGUAGAGGGACAGGUACAGAUGGGGAGAAAAGUGAGCUCUCAUCUGGAAAUGAGCUUCUACUUCUGAUCUCUGCUUGUCUUCUGUCUCCAAAAUUUGAAGUUAAAAUUUGUCACUUUGAAAUUUUCUUCCAAAAAUUCCCAUGUGAUCCCCAAAAGAUAGUGAGAUAUGAUAUCUCUAAACAUAUAUAUACCUAAAUUUUAUCUUAUUUCAUAUCUUUAAUCCUAUUUCUUGUGAAUGAGUAACCCUAUUACACAUACACACAUACCAGUACAUGCCCACCUUGCCCUGAGUUAUAUUUCAAAGCCUUCUUGUCUGAACUUACAAUAAGGGCACCAUGCCUCAAACACUUUCCCCUAAUUCUCUAAUUCCUAGGUUUUUCAGAUCAGGCUGCCAUACCUGUAUCUUGCUGAUGUUAGAUAAGAUAGCCAUAAUAUUAGGUAACAGUGAAUGGUAGGAGAUAAGAUUGAACCAUGGGGAAUGGCUUGGAGCAAACACCCCUCUCUGCCAUGUGCACAAUUAGAAUUGAUCAUGGGGAGAGGAAGAAGGGUGGAAGGUCAGUAUGGGAAGGCUCUUUAGUGGGUACUUUUUUCCAAUCAGAGCAUCUUGGCCUCCCUAGCAUCCCCUCCCCCCUCAGGAGUGAUCCUUUGUGAUGUCUGAGCUCCCCAUAGCCACCAUUGGCUGUGGGAAGUGCCCUGAUGACAAAACAAAGCUGAAGGGGUGUGACUCCUCAUUGCCCUGGGGAGGGGUAUAUAUACAGAGGACAGGACCCUUGGGGUAAACAAUUGAGAGCUUAAACAUGGCAAAAGUGACCAAGAAAUCACGGGAGCAACAAUCCACAAGCACCAAGCGGUGGAAGAAGAAGAAGACCCCCUCUCAACCUAAAUCAAGACGCAAUAACAAGGUUCUGAAGAUAUACAAGAAGAUAAAAAGACCAUUUCACAUGACCUCAAGAAAAAAAUACUCUCCUAAAGUUACAACUACUUCAAGAAGGCGGAAGAGAGGGAGAAGGGCCAACAAAUUUCAGUCAUCACGGUAGACUGAGCCAUAAGCAGCCAGGCCAAGCCCAGCGUACCCUAUAAAAAGACACCACUUGAAGAUAAGAUCCCUGCAAACAGUACCUGCAGAGCAAGCUUCAGAGACCUCAGACAAUCUGCUGCAUCUAAGUCCUGGCUGCUGAGAAAUGGCCAACUGCAUAGGGACUUACUCAGACACUAAUGUGGAAUGGUGGUUUAAUGGUGGUUAUUAAAAUCAACAAGGUGUAAGAAACCCCUCCAAAAAUAAAAAUAGGCUCUCUGCCAGAAAUUG